rnacentral:rRNA from 1 species
UGCAAGUCGAGCGGCAGCGGGAAGAUAGUUUACUAUCUUUGCCGGCGAGCGGCGGACGGGUGAGUAAUGCCUAGGGAUCUGCCCAGUCGAGGGGGAUAACAGUUGGAAACGACUGCUAAUACCGCAUACGCCCUACGGGGGAAAGGAGGGGACCUUCGGGCCUUCCGCGAUUGGAUGAACCUAGGUGGGAUUAGCUAGUUGGUGAGGUAAUGGCUCACCAAGGCGACGAUCCCUAGCUGUUCUGAGAGGAUGAUCAGCCACACUGGGACUGAGACACGGCCCAGACUCCUACGGGAGGCAGCAGUGGGGAAUAUUGCACAAUGGGGGAAACCCUGAUGCAGCCAUGCCGCGUGUGUGAAGAAGGCCUUCGGGUUGUAAAGCACUUUCAGUAGGGAGGAAAGGUAGCAGCUUAAUACGCUGUUGCUGUGACGUUACCUACAGAAGAAGGACCGGCUAACUCCGUGCCAGCAGCCGCGGUAAUACGGAGGGUCCGAGCGUUAAUCGGAAUUACUGGGCGUAAAGCGUGCGCAGGCGGUUUGUUAAGCGAGAUGUGAAAGCCCCGGGCUCAACCUGGGAAUUGCAUUUCGAACUGGCGAACUAGAGUCUUGUAGAGGGGGGUAGAAUUCCAGGUGUAGCGGUGAAAUGCGUAGAGAUCUGGAGGAAUACCGGUGGCGAAGGC